rnacentral:rRNA from 1 species
AUUGAACGCUGGCGGCAGGCUUAACACAUGCAAGUCGAGCGAGCGGCGGACGGGCGAGUAAUGUCUGGGAAACUGCCUGAUGGAGGGGGAUAACUACUGGAAACGGUAGCUAAUACCGCAUACCAUCAGAUGUGCCCAGAUGGGAUUAGCUAGUGGGUGGGGUAAUGGCUCACCUAGGCGACGAUCCCUAGCUGGUCUGAGAGGAUGACCGGCAACAGGUGGACUGAGAAAAGGUCCAGACUCCUACGGGAGGCAGCAGUAGGGAAUCUUCCGCAAUGGCAGAAAGCCUGAUGGAGCAAUGCCGCGUGAGUGAAGAAGGUUUUCGGAUCGUAAAUCACUGUCGUCGGGGAGGCGGUACCUAACCAAGAAGCAACGGCUAACUCCGUGCCAGCAGCCGCGGUAAUAC